UCGGGAAUAUUGCGCAAUGGAGGAAACUCUGACGCAGUGACGCCGCGUAUAGGAAGAAGGUUUUCGGAUUGUAAACUAUUGUCGUUAGGGGAGAUACAAGACAGUACCUAAGGAGGAAGCUCCGGCUAAUUACGUGCCAGCAGCCGCGGUAAUACGUAGGGAGCAAGCGUUAUCCGGAUUUAUUGGGUGUAAAGGGUGCGUAGACGGGAUAACAAGUUAGUUGUGAAAGCCCUCGGCUUAACUGAGGAACUGCAACUAAAACUAUUAUUCUUGAGUGUUGGAGAGGAAAGUGGAAUUCCUAGUGUAGCGGUGAAAUGCAUAGAUAUGACGCAGAACUCCGAUCGCGAAGGCAGCUUUCCAGCGCGCUACUGACGCUGAGGCACGAAAGCGUGGGGAUCGAACAGGAUUAGAUACCCUGGUAGU
rnacentral:rRNA from 1 species